ACUUGGGCGAAUGAUCUAGCUAGUGCUAGCAAUAUAGUGCACCGUACGCAUAAAAUUUUACAAUUUUACAAUUUAAUUUAAGGUAGAAUAGUGGCGGUUUUUACCAAAAAACUAUCCACUAUAGUAGAUAAUUAAAUUUAAUAUAAUAUUUAAGGAGUUUAGGGCUCUUUUAACUCCAACUAUACGGGGCAUAAUCCGACUUUAAACUGUGGGGAAGGUGAUUGCCUACAUCUAAAUUUAUGCGUGGCUUAUGCCUGAUUAAUGUUAACGAAUUUAUUAUAAUACGUAAUUAACAUUUAGUGUAGAAGCUAAAUGCUAUUACCCUUAUAUUAUGGUUAGGUUACCUAAAACAAUAAGCGUAUCCUCUUCCUACCGCGUCUCUAGGAGAUCCCCCCAGUUAUAAAUAAACAGUAAUCUGGACAUAUGCUGAGUUAAAUCAGUUAAUAUGUGUACCUAGGUACCAUGGAGGCUAUUAGCCUAUUGUUUAUUUUAGGUUACCAGCUACGCGAGAAAAUUCUAAAUAUCUAAAUUUAUAAUUUUAUAAUAUUUUAAUUUUAUAAUUUUCUGCGUAGAAAAUUAGUUACCAUUAGUUAAUGCGGUCUGCAACUAUAUAACCACCAUCAGCGGUAGAUUCAGCAUGGAGCGAAAGCAGAUGGUCUAUGACUGAAUUGGUCAUAUGAAUGUUAUUAUUGUCUUUAUACCUUUAUAUUAAAAGUUUAAACUAAUGGGUCACUAUAGUUUUAAACUAAGUACACAGGAAUAUUUAAGGUUUGAUCUAACAACCAGGUUAUAUUUUGUAUAUAGAAAAACGAUUUUGUCGGAUAUAGUUCAAGGUAUGCAACACUGGANUAUGACUUUGUGUUGUUACCUAAAGGUCUCGACCAAAAUUACGUGCCAGCAGUCGCGGUAAUACGUAGGAGACUAGUGUUAUUCAUCUUUAGUAGGUUUAAAGGGUACCUAGACGGUUAANUUAGUCACAUUAUACAUCCGUAAUGGGGUUAGUGAUACGAUUUACCUAGAGUUGUAUAAGAGGAGGUGAGUAUUUGAGGAGUAGAGUUGAAAUUCGUUGAUACCUCGAGGACUGGUUAAGGCGAAAGCAACCUUUUAUCUAAUAACUGACGUUGAGGGACGAAGGCUUGGGUAGCAAACAGGAUUAGAUACCCUAGUAGUCCAUGCAGAAAACGAUGAAUGCCAUAGGUUAGAUUUUAAUUUAAUCAAUAAAUGAAAGUGUAAGCAUUCCACCUCAAGAGUAAUGUGGCAACGCAGGAACUGAAAUCAUUAGACCGUUUCAUGAAACCAGUAGUGAAGUAUGUUAUUUAAUUCGUAGUUACGCGAAAAACCUUACCACAAUUUGUAUACUAUUCCCUAGCUUUUAAAAAGGCUUAAGCUAAAACAAAGAUUAGCCUAGCCGCUUCCCCCUUUUCUCCUCCUUGUAGAGGUGAAAACUUCGCCUCCUCCGGGGCCGGAGGAGAAAAUUCUCCACCUACGGUCGAGGAGGGGGAUAAUUUUUAAAAGUUACUUAGUACAAGCGUUGCACGGCUGUCUGCAGUUAAUGUCGUGAGAUACUGGUUAACUCCUUUAAAUUAACGAAAACCCUCGCUCUUUAUUUGUCUAUUUAAGGAAUAGAGCGGAACAACCACCAAUAAAGGUAUUGAUAACAGGGACUAAUACAUUAUGGUCA
rnacentral:rRNA from 1 species